rnacentral:rRNA from 1 species
GACGAACGCUGGCGGCGUGCUUAACACAUGCAAGUCGAACGGAAAGGCCCUGCUUUUGUGGGGUGCUCUAGUGGCGAACGGGUGAGUAACACGUGAGUAACCUGCCCUUGACUUUGGGAUAACUUCAGGAAACUGGGGCUAAUACCGGAUAGGAGCUCCUGCUGCAUUGUGGGGGUUGGAAAUUUUCGGCGGUUGGGGAUGGACUCGCGGCUUAUCAGCUUGUUGGUGGGGUAGUGGCUUACCAAGGCUUUGACGGGUAGCCGGCCUGAGAGGGUGACCGGCCACAUUGGGACUGAGAUACGGCCCAGACUCCUACGUGAGGCAGCAGUGGGGAAUAUUGCACAAUGGGCGGAAGCCUGAUGCAGCAACGCCGCGUGCGGGAUGACGGCCUUCGGGUUGUAAACCGCUUUCGCCUGUGACGAAGCAUGAGUGACGGUAAUGGGUAAAGAAGCACCGGCUAACUACGUG